rnacentral:rRNA from 1 species
CCCCAGACUCCUACGGGAGGCAGCAGUGGGGAAUAUUGCACAAUGGGGGAAACCCUGAUGCAGCAACGCCGCGUGAGUGAGGAAGUAUUUCGGUAUGUAAAGCUCUAUCAGCAGGGAAUAGAAAAGAAGGUACCUGAAAAAGAAGCCCCGGCUAACUACGUGCCAGCAGCCGCGGUAAUACGUAGGGAGCAAGCGUUAUCCGGAAUUAUUGGGUGUAAAGGGUGCGUAGACGGGACAGCAAGUUAGUUGUGAAAGCCCUCGGCUUAACUGAGGAACUGCAACUAAAACUAUUGUUCUUGAGUGCAGGAGAGGAAAGCGGAAUUCCUAGUGUAGCGGUGAAAUGCGUAGAUAUUAGGAGGAACACCAGUGGCGAAGGCGGCUUUCUGGACUGUAACUGACGUUGGGGCACGAAAGUGUGGGGAGCAAACAGGAUUAGAUACCCUUGUAAA